UUGAUGUUUUUCCACAUGAAUAGCGGAGAGGUGAUUGUGUGUCUGUCUUCGGCAUACACCUUGAAGGACUGCAACAAUCCAGGAAGAGUUGACGGGUCCUGCGCUGAUGGCAAUGAACAAGAUGAUGUGCAGUGGCCUAGUAGAAGAGGAGACACAUUUUUCACAAAGUUGUUUUUAAUUACCAUCAAGUGAUCAUGGUAAAUUUCCAAAUAGUCAUUGAUGGGACUUAGUUUAUAUUCAGGUAUUCACAUCAAAGAUGAUACUGUCCAUUACCAGUUAACAAGUUGUAUCCUGCCACUUGCUUGUUAUAAGUAUGUUUCUUAAGAUUCUAGCAGUCCUGACACCACAGUGAUAGACAGUGGUCGUCAG